CAAUAGCGUAUAUUAAAGUUGUUGCAGUUAAAAAGCUCGUAGUUGGAUUUGUGGUGUACUUCGGCGGCCCGUCACUAUGUGAUGGAGCUUGCUGAAGUCGCCAUCCUUGGGUGGAUCCUGUGUGGCAUUAAGUUGUCGUGCAGGGGAUGCCCAUCGUUUACUGUGAAAAAAUUAGAGUGUUCAAAGCAGGCUUAUGCCGUUGAAUAUGUUAGCAUGGAAUAAUAAGAUAGGACCUUGGUACUAUUUUGUUGGUUUGCGCACCAAGGUAAUGAUUAAUAGGGACAGUUGGGGGUAUUCGUAUUUCAUUGUCAGAGGUGAAAUUCUUGGAUUUUUGAAAGACGCACUACUGCGAAAGCAUUUACCAAGGAUGUUUUCAUUAA
rnacentral:rRNA from 1 species